AGGACAGCAGCUCUAUACAGUGGAUUGCAUAACCAGGAUGAACGAGAUGCUACUUCUCAGACUCUUCAAUUGAUGUACCACAAGCGAUGAGAGACCCAGACAUAUGACAAUAGAGAAGCUACGGUCUUGCUGGACAUGGCAACGACAGGACAGCAGCUCUAUACAGUGGAUUGCAUAACCAGGGAGGAACGAGAGGUAGCAUGUGUUUCUUUGCAUUAGCUGUUUUAUUUUGUAUGC